GCUUCGUGAGGGACGCGUCGAUGCUGAGGCGGCCGCCGGCGCCGCCGCCGCCGCGGGCCGCCCCGAACUGAAGCCAUUGCAAGAAGCCAGGGCACCUGGAGAAGAAGCUGGAGACCUGCAGCAAGCACUGCUGGAGUCAGAGAGAGGGCAGGACACGUAGCUUCUUCUGCCAGGCUUGUGGCUCACACCCCAUGGUACCUGCUCGGUGGCACCUGUGAAGGAACCACAAUUGUUCCAGGGGAAGGAAAGAUCAGAUUUCAUCCUUCUUAAAAGCAUAAAGGAAACAAUGGAUCGUGUAGGUCAACAUGAAAGCACAGCAAUAGGGCUGGUGAGGGGAGAGAGCAGCAUCCUACAGCACAAACCUCAUACCUGUACCUAUGUGUACACAAAGUCAAGAGAAGAGGCCUUGAGUGUCCUCUGUAGAGCAAACCUCCAUCAGCAAGAGAGCUAUCCUACAUGCCAUACUCCAAAACACUGAUGCUAAAUUGUGAAUAUUAUUUCAGUUCUAGGACCUCAUACUUAAAAUGAAAAAACAGGCUUGUCUACACAGCCAUGCUCGGGAGGGAAAAAACCCUCCAAACACUAAAUUGCCACGUGCUACAUUCUCUGCUUCAUAAAACCAGAAAUAAGAUCAAGGGAAACUCAAGAGAUUGAGAGCAAGUCUUGGGCAUGCAAAGAAGAGCAUUCCUGCAGUAUCCCAAUUACGCCCAUGCAAUGAUCCAGCAUUCCCCAUUAGCAUGAAUCAAGGCUGAUCACUGUGUUUAGGGGAGGAGUGGUAGGUCAAACACUCCCCCACACAUGAAAGCAGCAGGAAGGCAUGGCCACAUCAUGUGAGGGCUCUCUUAGAGAUCUUUAAAAAUCAAAACCAACACGCAGUUCUUACUUAGCAUCACAUACGACUCAAAUUCUGAAGGCCAGUCAUAUUUAGCUUCAAAGCUGGUUCUUGCUACCUUAUAUUAACAUUUGCUUAAAAAAAUAGAAAAAAAAAUGCUAUCUCCCAGCAAGGCAUUCUGACUGAGAAUACUUUAAGUACAAAAAAAAAAAAUCAAACAUUUCAAAACAACAUUCACAGUUUUACAAUACCUAUUUUAAGUCUUCCAUGUAGUUCAAGAACUAAACCUGAACUAAAAAAAUCAUGACACCUCAGUAACAGCACUGUGUAACACUUCCAUGACAACAGCCUAUACAUUUACCUCACUUAAUUCUAAGCAAGCCACACAGGCUUCAUCCCAUAGGAAAAGAGGGAUAACUUGUCAAAAUAAAUUUAGGUAACAAUGCAAUUUUCUAGGAAGAGUAGCAGUACCAACCAUCACUUAUGGCACAGGCAGCAGCCUUAAGGUACAACUAACAUUUGAUAAAGUUCAAGGUUUUCUCCUCUAGUCAGGUGCAAGGAUAGGGGCAUCCCCUAAAAUAAAUCCAGUUAUUUUGGAAACAGACCUCUUGGUUUGCCUUAAGAUCAGCAUUUAGCUGAUCAGUACCAGGUCAAGCCUGCCUGUUCUCCACUCCUCCUCCACAGUAAGGAAUUCCAGGAAGCACAGGGAAAUACUAAGAGGCCCCAGCAGCAUCUUUGGAGUAUGUUUUUUCUUACUGUUUCUUUUCAUCAAUCCCUAGUGAGAGGUGAAACACAGGCCUCUGUCUUCUGAUGAUGUUCCUUGAUCAAGGAACAUCAGUUCCUUGAACAAAGCUUUUAGCACAGGAGGAGGACUUAGCAGCUGCACUGCAAUACACAGUGAGCAGAGACAUUCAAGCUGUUCAAAGACAUACCCACAGUGUAUUCCACACUACUUAGUGGUGAGAGAUUAUCCUCCUAAAUCUACAGACAGGAAGAUAAGCAUUCCCAUACUGAUGAGGGAAAGAGCUCAGGGAAGCUUCCUCCCAGCCUCAGACAGGGCUGGCUGCAGGCUCUGGGCAGGCUCCGCUGGCUGUCCUGCUCCCAGGAAAACCACAGGGACAACCUGUGUGUGCCCUGCUCCAGGCUCCUGCUGCUCCUUUGCCCUUCCCUGGCACAAGCCUUACCUGUUCAGAGGCCUUUCCUUCUGGGACCCAUCUUGAGUUACAUCCUUGCUGCAACCUGUAUUCUCUCUCUCCAGUUCCACCCUGUAUGUAACUCCUUUAUAUACGUCUGUUAGUUCAAUUCACUGAUCUGGAGAAGGAAAAAAAAACAACUACACUGCCGUUUCCUUCCCAGAUUAGUGAACUGUAGGGGUUAAUGGGGAUGUUAUGAACACCCCAGCAAAUGCAAGGCAGGGAACAAACCCAACUGGGAGCAGGCAGGCUGGGCUCGCCCCUCUGGGAGCAAUGAGCCAGCAGGGCAGUCCAGCUGCCUGUGGAACCACAGGCCACUUUGGGACAGAGCACAUAGAACACUAAAAAUAAGCUGGACACUUUAUAUCCACCUUGAAUGUAAAGAAUCUUUCCAAAACUCCUCAGGAGUUUUACCCUUGCAAGCAUCGGACUCGAGCUUGUUUCCAAACUGAAGCACGUUUCCACACUCUGCCCUCCCUCCUCCCUCCAAUUUAAGUUACUGCAGCACAUAACCUGAGUACCAAAUGAGGAAUUUGGUACUUAAAUUACCUUAAAUUACCACAUUAUUCUGCAGGUUCUGUAAUUACAUGGGCCAUAUCUAUUCUGUUUGUUGUUCUUACAACCGCCCGCCUGCCCCACCACACUGUCAAGACACCUUUGGACUGCUCAAAGGUGAAUUAUUUUACACGUUACCAAACAAGACAGCACCACAAAAGAACAUUUAAAAAUGCCAUUUAUAAAAACAGAAAUUUAUUGUAAAUUAAAAAAAAAAAACAAAACAAACCAAAAC